AGCGAACGCUGGCGGCAGGCCUAACACAUGCAAGUCGAACGAACCUUUCGGGGUUUGUGGCGGACGGGUGAGUAACACGUGGGAACGUGCCUUUAGGUUCGGAAUAACUCAGGGAAACUUGUGCUAAUACCGAAUGUGCCCUUCUGGGGAAAGAUUUAUCGCCUCUAGAGCGGCCCACGUCUGAUUAGCUAGUUGGUUGAGGUAAUGGCUCACCAAGGCGACGUUCAGUAGCUGGUCUGAGAGGAUGAUCAGCCACAUUGGGACUGUGACACGGCCCGAACUCCUACGGGAGGCAGCAGUGGGGAAUCUUGCGCAAUGGGCGAAAGCCUGACGCAGCCAUGCCGCGUGAAUGAUGAAGGUCUUAGGAUUGUAAAAUUCUUUCACCGGGGACGAUAAUGACGGUACCCGGAGAAGAAGCCCCGGCUAACUUCGUG
rnacentral:rRNA from 1 species